rnacentral:rRNA from 1 species
AGAACGAACGCUGGCGGCAGGCCUAACACAUGCAAGUCGAGCGCCCAGCAAUGGGAGCGGCGGACGGGUGCGUAACGCGUGGGAAUAUGCCUUUCGGUACGGAACAACUCAGGGAAACUUGAGCUAAUACCGUAUACGCCCUUAGGGGGAAAGAUUUAUCGCCGAAAGAUUAGCCCGCGUAGGAUUAGCUUGUUGGUGAGGUAAUGGCUCACCAAGGCGACGAUCCUUAGCUGGUUUGAGAGAACGACCAGCCACACUGGGACUGAGACACGGCCCAGACUCCUACGGGAGGCAGCAGUGGGGAAUCUUGGACAUGGGGAAACCCUGAUCCAGCCAUGCCGCGUGAGUGAUGAAGGCCUUGGGUGUAAAACUCUUUCGACGGGGACGAUAAUGACGGUACCCGUAGAAGAAGCUCCGGCUAACUUCGUGCCAGCAGCCGC